GCAGCAUGGAGUUAUGAUAUCAUUCUACUCGAUUUUCUCCUAUUUCAGAUUUUUAGAUUUAUAUUGACCAAUAUCAAAAUUCCAAUGAUGUGAAUUAUGUGUAAAAUAGAGGAAAGAUACUUAAUGGAGAUUGCGAAAUAUUUUGGACAAUUGGACAUGACAAAGAAUUAAGAAGCACGGCAAUAAAGGUAGAAAAAAAUAGGGCUAGAAAAGCAUCAGUCUAGUGUUGAGUAUAUCGGAAGCCCCAAAAUUAGAUGGAUCCAAUAAUAAUGGAUAUUAAGGACAGAAUUUGUCUGUUUAUUUUUUUUUAAAUCAUGUACCUAUAAUUUAAAUUUUGAAAACAGAAUGUACUGUGUCCUAGGCUAGGUUUAGGGGAGUUUCAUCUUAUUAAAUUACCUUUUCUUUUCAAAUGUAACCAUCUACAGUGUUUUAUUUGUGUCUAAUUCAAUUGAUAAUGAAUUAGAGCUGUUAUUAGAGCUGUCUAAAUCUAUAAUAAGAUAUGUUGCCAUGAAAUAAAAACACAUCUCUCAAAAAAAGUUCUUUUGGCAUUGGGUCAAUAUAGUAUUAAAAUUUUAAUAUUUUUAUUCUAUCUUGUGCGUUCCAUUCCAUGAGCAACAUUUUUCAAAAUAAUGUUUAUUUCAUAGUUGGCAUGAAAAAGGUAACUGUUUUUUUUAUAUGUAAGUGAAUUUCAUCGCUCAUCAUUUCCAAGCCAACUCUGACUCCGUUUUUUAUCAUACGUACUUAAUUCACAAGAAUUUGAUGAUUAAAUACAUAUAUCUUAAUAAAGUAAUUAUAAAUAUAUUUAUUCAGAUAUCAUUUUAGACCUACAUACUUAUAUUAUUAUGGUAAAAAAUAUUAGCUUAUUUCUUAUUUAUUUAUUUAUUAUUAAAUUAUAGUAUUUUCAUUUUCAUCUUUACAUACAAGUGUCUAUUUCUGUAUUUUAUUCUCAUUCAAACCAAUAAAUUUAUUUUAACAGA